rnacentral:rRNA from 1 species
UACGAAGGGGGCUAGCGUUGCUCGGAAUACUGGGCGUAAAGGGCGCGUAGGCGGAUACUUAAGUCGGGGGUGAAAGCCCAGGGCUCAACCCUGGAAUAGCCUUCGAUACUGGGUAUCUUGAGUUCGGGAGAGGUGAGUGGAACUCCGAGUGUAGAGGUGAAAUUCGUAGAUAUUCGGAAGAACACCAGUGGCGAAGGCGACUCACUGGCCCGAUACUGACGCUGAGGCGCGAAAGCGUGGGGAGCAAACAGG